rnacentral:misc_RNA from 1 species
GUGGUUGCUGCAUUCACCCUGGUAACAUUUGUGGUUCUGUGUGUGUUGUACGUGAACAAUAUCCUCGCUUUUGUCAUUGUCAUCUGCUUUCUUUAUUUCAUACCGUUCAUCACGAUGUGGAUUUUUGACGGAUUAAGAUUGCAUCACCUCCGCUACAAGAACAAACCAACGAAUGACAGAGCAGAAAUGGUGGAUCUUACACGGACAACUGACUCACCGCACGUGCAGGCAAAACAACACACAAGACAGUCGGAGAAACCCCUGUCGUUGGUUGAGAUAUUGUGUUUUCUGAUGUACGGAUUCUGUCACACUGUAGCUUUUGCUGUAGUUACUUUAGUCAUCGCGCGAAUCGCCUGGGUAUUCUUCAGACCGGUUUCCAUGGAAGUUCAUCUUCAAAGCGUUCCUGGUAUUUUGUAAAGUUGUACACACUAUGCUCUUUGGCAGUCCAGUCUUGGUGUAAAAGCAAAAAAUUAAAGUUGUUCAUUGACUGUUCUCUGUUUAAGGUGCUGGGAUUUUCUUUGUUGAUUAUUAAUUGUUUUGUAUAUUUGAUAGAAUGUAUGCUCUGUACCGCUCUCUGUAACUAUAUCUCCCAUUAAACAAUUUAUUUUCUUU